GAGAGGAGCAGUUUUGAGGGAACUAGCCUGGUGGUCUUCCGGGGAACCAGGGGAGGUCGCCGAGGAGGGAGUAGUCGAGAGGAGGUUCAACAUCGCUCUCAACCAUGGCCCCCCUUCGACCCUGGGCUCGUGUGUGACGGAUCGGAGCCACUGUCUCACCAUGGCGGACGGAGAGGGGAAAGGAAGCGCAGGUCCGCCAUGGUGGCGCAACUGCCCAUGAUGGCCACAGGGCCAGCGCCACGAGGCAAGGUGGACGCCAGCCCAGCGCCAAUGCCCAAGAGGGCCGCGGAGACAUUGUUGGAUUACUUUUCCAUGUUGAACCAGAUUUUAGAGAUUCCCAGGAGUGUUCACGUCCCGGCUGCGGAGCCAGCGCCAAUGCCCAAGAUGGCCACCAGCCCAGUGCCACAGCACAGGAUGGCCGCCAGCCCAGCGCCACAGCACAGGAUGGCCGCCAGCCCAGCGCCACAGCACAAGAUGGCCGAAUCUGCACCUGUGUCACCAGACAAGAUGGCCGACUCAACGCCUGAGUCUCCAGACAAGGUGACACCGACUCGCCAUCAUAGAGGGCGGAGGAGGAGGGGACAGGCGUCUACCGUUCCUCAAAGCCCGGCGGAUGUUCCCGAGCAGCCCGCUGCCGUCCCGGAGGCCGUUCCCGAGCAGCCCGCUGCCGGCCCGGAGGAGGUUCCCGAGCAGCCCGCUGCCGUCCCGGAGGCGGCGCCUGAGGCAGAGGCCGAUACGGGGCCCGAGGCGGUUCUUGAAGCCGAGGCGGUUCCUGAGGCCGCUCCCGAGGUGGUGCCCGAGCCCGAGGUCAUGCCCGAGAUCGUUCCCGAGGCGGUGCCCGAACCCGAGGUUGUUCCCGAGGCGACGCCCGUGUCCAAGGCCGUUCCCGAGGCGGUGCCCUUGUCCAAAGCCGUUCCCGAGGCGGUGUCCAAUGCCGUGACCUGGCCAUCGCCACAGCCUGCUCCUUACUGGCUCCCCGAUUGGCAGGUUCCGUUCGGGCCACUCAAAUGGCGAAUUCCUCCCUGGCCGUCUGCACAACGAGAAUGGACUGAUCCACCGUGGCCACCUGAACUGCCUGGCCCCUCGUGGUCCCCUGAACUUUCGGGUCCACCGUGGCCACCUGAACUGCCUGGUCCCUCGUGGUCCCCUGAACUUUCGGGUCCACCAUGGCCCCCUGAUCUGACCGAGCCACUUGGGCUACCAGGGGAGCCAUCGCUGCCGGUCCCAGUUCCCCUACACGGGCCUGGCCCGCCAUCCCUCCCCCUGUUCUGCCUCCACCAGUCCACCUCCC
ensembl:lncRNA